UUGCAUUACGUAGUAAAAGUGACCUAAAUCACUUAAAAAACACAGUCAAAUAUACUUGCGAUACUUGUGGAUUACCACUGAUCACAAGAUGCUCAGUCAGAAAUGUUGUCAUAAACCACAAGUUUUCCUCAAACUCGGUGGCAGGAUCGAAUUCACUCGAACGCACCCAACACAUCUCAAAUGUCGCUUGAGCUGCAUGCCAGUGAUGUGAACUGAAGCAAGUACAAGAGCUGUGCCUUUCGACUUCAAAAGCUAAAGAUGGAGCAAUUGGACAAGACAACACAGUCACUUCUGGAAGCUGCACAGGCCAUUGCCUUGUUGGAUGCGCUCCCAAAAAUGUUCCCUUACCCAACCGCCCCUCCAAGAAAAGUUGGCAAGUGAGGCACUGUACCAUGUUCUUGAGCCAUCUGAGGACCCCAAUGUCUUCUUGCGUAACUGAUGACCUUGCCAAGGGACAUGCUUCUGGAAUCCCUCAUGAUACUGAUGGGAUGCUACUAUGUGUUCCAGUUAACAUAUUCCAAGUACUCAAAGAUUUUAUUCACGAGAGUGACAAGACGACAACAUAUAAAAAGGUGCUUGCUGACUGUCAAGCAUUCAUCCAAACCUAGUCUGUCUCUCCCUCUCUCUUUGUCAACCUCCUACUGUAUGUCACUCUUCUGUAUGUCACUCCCCCCCCCCCCCCCCCCCCCAACUCUUUCUCUAUAUGUCUGGAGGUCAGGACAGCACACAGUAACACAACGUCCAAUGUAUUUCCAGCUACAUUUGUCAAUGAUUUGUUGACUGUUUGAUGAAUUCUGACUGUUUGAUGUGUUGCUGAAUUGUCAUCGUUUAUGGAGAUGUCAAUGUACCCUAUGUCUGAUAGUUUACUUAAAUCAUUAUGUGUAAUAUGUAAUUAAGUACAUUUAAGCAUUCUGAUGCUUAUUAUUGUUCACUACUCUCAAAUGGCUGUUAUUGGUUUUCUUCAUUAACAGGCUAAUAAAACAGUGAUAAAUAA